UUGUCCGUUUUUCGCUUCGCCAUUUCGCCACAUCGCCGUCUACGUUGGCGGCUAACAUCUCCUGGAGGCCCUCUGGUGGCGGGUUGACGAACGAACUGUUUCGCCGAGUUAGGGUGGCUUGCCAAGGAGAAACCCUUAACCCCCACGAACACCACUGCAACAUUAUUUAAUAAAUCUACAGAAAGUACACUGCGACCUCCUUCGAAUGACUAGCAACGCUUACAUCUCUUUUGAUACAAUUCUGCCGGACAAGCAAACGCUUCGAAAACUUAUAUUGAAAGUUUUAAAGUCUCAUUCCAAUGCACCAGGAAUGAUUCUGUGGGAGCGUGCGCGAGUUAAGAAUUCUACCAGUGGGAUUUCUUUUUAAAAAAGGUCUACACCUGACUACUGUUCAACUAAGACUGCUUUUAUUCAACCUGCUUCAGAAAGAACACACCUUUUACAUUCAUACAUGUUACCGACUCGUGGAAUGCCUACUCAGCGCUUCCAUUGUGGGAAUCGGUCGUCCUCGUUGCCGGUUGAUGAUACUCGAUGCCGCUACUGAUUCAGGUGACACCCAAAAAGCUGACUACGACGUCUGGCAAGAGACGGCGUUAACUUGCCCUUCCUUAAAGAUGAACCUCCUGGUUCAUGAUAUCCGCUAUGGAAAGUGGUUUAAAAUUUUCAAUGCCUUUUCCUGAUUCUAGAUUUUCAACCUUUUCCUUGACAUUUGGUGUGGUCUGUAGUUUAAUAUGUGCUGUUCUGUGAAAGAAAAUACUGAAGACAAUAACGAUACCAAUUAUAAGAGGAAGAAGAGUUAUUCCUCCAAAUAUUGUCCAAUGUGGGAAAUGCAAGCUGUUGUUGUUUAGACGCAGGUAAUCCAGAUCUUUUCGAGCUUCUAUGUGAAGCUUGUGGAGGUGUUCCAUGCUCAGGUUUAGUACAUCACCAUUUUUGGUAAUGGAGAUUCCGUCCAGUGGCAGGUGAAGGGGUAUACCAGUGACAUUCCGGAUUUUACUGGUGUAUGAAUUAUUGUUGAUUAUCAAUGCACAAUUUUCGUAUUGUAGUAAAUAAGAUCCGUACAGGAUCCUCUCAGCAGUAAUACAAUCGGAUGAUAGGGUAAAGUUAUUAGCGGCGUUGAUAAGUAUAUGGUGCAUAUCAAUCUGUACAACUUCGUGUUGUAUCGGGUUUAAUGUGUAGUUACAGAUGGCUGCUUUUCCAUCUACACUCAACCAAAUCGAGCAAUAAAAUUCAUUGGAUCGUUUUAAUAGCUUUUAUUUUAGGAAGGAUGGAUAUAAAGUACUGGAAAAUCCAAUAAAUUUUAUUAUAAAAGUCAAUAGACUGUACAAUUAUUUUUUGGCGCUGAUGUAUCUAGAGAAAACUAUUCAAAAAUCUAAUAAAUUUUAUACGUUCGCUCUGCAAUACUACACCAAAUGAAAUAUAUCUGAAAAUCUUAUAAAUUUCAUAAACAUGAUUACGUAUAGUUUUUAGUAGAUGUGGUUUACAUUCAGAAACAAUAAUGUUGGGAUCAGGCUGUAAAUUUUCGAAGAACGGCUGCCCGUUCCAAUUGUUCCAUAUUUGUAUUGAAACCGGACUAUCAUUUAGUGGAGGAAGGAAAAAGCACGGGAAAUUAAUGAUUAUUGGAUUGUGAAGCAGCAAAACUAUGUUUCGGUUGUGUAAUAGAAGCGCACCAACCAGAUCAAUCGAGGAGAUUGUUCCGGAGAAAGAACUUCAUCUGAACGGGAUAUUCAAAUUACGAUCAAGAUUUUCGUCGGGCAUCAGGUAAUCAAUUUUCGCCUCCGGAACGCCAACCCAAUACCUCGGCUCGCGCGAUCGACUUCCGGAACGAUGCUCGUGUGCAUCAAGCGGCAAUUUUUAUCAAUUACGGUGGAUUAGGAGCAGGUUCCAGCAUUUGAAAAAGGAACGUCGACCACUUUCAGCUGAACAUGUUUGUUUAAACCAUGCACACGACCGCCAUACCUAAAUAAUUUGUCAAUAAAAAAAUCAAAACUCAAAUCGCAAUAAAUCAUUUAAAAGAAAUCCGAAAAAAACGAAAACAUUUAUUUCAUUGCAUUGAAUUGUAAUUGAAAUCAAAUCGAAAAACUAUAAUAUUCAUUGGAAUUUCCAAUAAAGAAAAUCGGUACGAAAAUCUAUGCAUUUCAUUUUGUGUAUACAGUUGUAAAAAGUAUUGGAUUUUCUUUUAGUGCAAAAUCACUAAAAAAUCUGAUAAAGCUUAUA